rnacentral:rRNA from 1 species
UGCAGUCGAGCGGACAGAUGGGAGCUUGCUCCCUGAUGUUAGCGGCGGACGGGUGAGUAGCCCGUGGGUAACCUGCCUGUAGGACUGGGAUAACUCCGGGAAACCGGGGCUAAUACCGGAUGGUUGUCUGAACCGCAUGGUUCACACCUAAAAGGUGGCUUCGGCUACCACUUACGGAUGGACCCGCGGCGCAUUAGCUAGUUGGUGAGGUAACGGCUCACCAAGGCGACGAUGCGUAGCCGACCUGAGAGGGUGAUCGGCCACACUGGGACUGAAACCCGGCCCAAACUCCUACGGGAGGCAGCAGUAGGGAAUCUUCCGCAAUGGACGAAAGUCUGACGGAGCAACGCCGCGUGAGUGAUGAAGGUUUUCGGAUCGUAAAGCUCUGUUGUUAGGGAAGAACAAGUGCCGUUCAAAUAGGGCGGCACCUUGACGGUACCUAACCAAAAAGCCACGGCUAACUACGUGCCAGCAGCCGCGGUAAUACGUAGGUGGCAAGCGUUGUCCGGAAUUAUUGGGCGUAAAGGGCUCGCAGGCGGUUUCUUAAGUCUGAUGUGAAAGCCCCCGGCUCAACCGGGGAGGGUCAUUGGAAACUGGGGAACUUGAGUGCAGAAUAGGAUAGUGGAAUUCCACGUGUAGCGGUGAAAUGCGUAGAGAUGUGGAGGAACACCAGUGGCGAAGGCGACUCUCUGGUCUGUAACUGA